CACGUAGGGUGCGAGCGUUGUCCGGAAUUAUUGGGCGUAAAGAGCUCGUAGGCGGUGUGUCGCGUCGGCCGUGAAAACUUGGGGCUUAACUCUGAGCGUGCGGUCGAUACGGGCAUCACUUGAGUUCGGCAGGGGAGACUGGAAUUCCUGGUGUAGCGGUGAAAUGCGCAGAUAUCAGGAGGAACACCGGUGGCGAAGGCGGGUCUCUGGGCAGUUACUGACGCUGAGGAGCGAAAGCGUGGGGAGCGAACAGG
rnacentral:rRNA from 1 species